rnacentral:tRNA from 1 species
GCCUGGGUGGCUCAGUCGGUUGAGCGUCUGACUUCAGCUCAGGUCAUGAUCUCGCGGUUCGUGAGUUCGAGCCCCGCGUCGGGCU